AUUGAGACAAACAACAACUUCAAUUUGUGUCUACAACUGAAAAAACAGAUCCAAAACUAACCUUAUAGAAAUGAUUAUUGCUUUAAGUGUUGUCGAUUUGCAAAAUUUGAUCUGCAAAUGGUUUCAUUCAGGUUCUGUUCUUCACUGAUCCCCUCUCCCAGAUUUCUAACAGAAACAAAUUCAUCAUCUCAAGUGCUUUAUCCGAAUCCUAUAUGAAAUCUGAAAAAGGUAAUUGAUCACAGAAUCUAAAUUAUCUUGAAACAAUUCAAUUGAAUUAGAAUGAAGCUUACAAAUUAAGAAGAAUUGGCGCAGAGAACAUGUCUAUUGAUGUGAGCUUAUGAUCUGAUUAUCAGCUUCUUCGGUAUCAUCGGUAAAGCUUAAGCAUGUCAAUGGAUGUUAACUUUCGGUGGAGAACGAGAAUCAUCGUUCUCAUAUGUUUUUUUUUUUU
rnacentral:lncRNA from 1 species